rnacentral:rRNA from 1 species
AGCGAACGCUGGCGGCAGGCCUAACACAUGCAAGUCGAACGAAGUCUUCGGACUUAGUGGCGGACGGGUGAGUAACACGUGGGAACGUACCUUUUGGUUCGGAACAACUCAGGGAAACUUGAGCUAAUACCGGAUGAGCCCUUAGGGGGAAAGAUUUAUCGCCGAAAGAGCGGCCCGCGUUAGAUUAGCUAGUUGGUGAGGUAAAGGCUCACCAAGGCUAUGAUCUAUAGCUGGUCUGAGAGGAUGAUCAGCCACACUGGGACUGAGACACGGCCCAGACUCCUACGGGAGGCAGCAGUGGGGAAUCUUGCGCAAUGGGCGAAAGCCUGACGCAGCCAUGCCGCGUGAAUGAUGAAGGUCUUAGGAUUGUAAAAUUCUUUUACCAGGGACGAUAAUGACGGUACCUGGAGAAAAAGCCCCGGCUAACUUCGUGCCAGCCGCCGCGGUAAGAC